UACAGAGGAUGCAAGCGUUAUCCGGAAUGAUUGGGCGUAAAGCGUCUGUAGGUGGCUUUUUAAGUCCGCCGUCAAAUCCCAGGGCUCAACUCUGGACAGGCGGUGGAAACUACCAAGCUGGAGUACGGUAGGGGCAGAGGGAAUUUCCGGUGGAGCGGUGAAAUGCGUAGAGAUCCGGAGGAACACCGACGGCGUAGGCAGCGCCCUGGCCGUUUCCUGACGCUGAUGCACGAAAGCUGGGGGAGCAAACAGG
rnacentral:rRNA from 1 species